rnacentral:snRNA from 1 species
GUACCACUUAGCAGUAUAUAUACUGGAACUGGAGCAAUACAGAGAAAAACAGCAUGUCCGUGCGCAAGGAUGACACGCAAAACCCUUAAUGUAAUUGCAUAUUCAU